CCUGGCUCAGGACGAACGCUGGCGGCGUGCCUAAUACAUGCAAGUCGAGCGGACAGAUGGGAGCUUGCUCCCUGAUGUUAGCGGCGGACGGGUGAGUAACACGUGGGUAACCUGCCUGUAAGACUGGGAUAACUCCGGGAAACCGGGGCUAAUACCGGAUGGUUGUUUGAACCGCAUGGUUCAGACAUAAAAGGUGGCUUCGGCUACCACUUACAGAUGGACCCGCGGCGCAUUAGCUAGUUGGUGAGGUAACGGCUCACCAAGGCAACGAUGCGUAGCCGACCUGAGAGGGUGAUCGGCCACACUGGGACUGAGACACGGCCCAGACUCCUACGGGAGGCAGCAGUAGGGAAUCUUCCGCAAUGGACGAAAGUCUGACGGAGCAACGCCGCGUGAGUGAUGAAGGUUUUCGGAUCGUAAAGCUCUGUUGUUA
rnacentral:rRNA from 1 species